GACGAACGCUGGCGGCGUGCCUAAUACAUGCAAGUCGAACAGUUGCGAGCGGGGGAGUAAAGCGUAGGUAACUGCCUCAUAGCGGGGGAUUAACAUUGGAAACGAUAGCUAAUACCGCAUUAUGUGAGAUGGACCUGCGUUGUAUUAGCUAGUUGGUAAGGUAAAGGCUGACCAAGGCGACGAUACAUAGCCGACCUGAGAGGGUGCUCUGCCACACUUGGACCUAGACACGGCCCAGACUCCCACGGGAGGCAGCAAUAGGGAAGCUUCGGCCAUUGACGGAAGUCCGACCGAGCAACGGCGCGGGAGUUAAGAAGGUUUUCGGAGCGUAAAGCUCUGUUGUGAGAGAAGCGGUACCUACCCAGAAAGGGACGGCUAACUACGUGCCAGCAGCCGCGGUAAUUC
rnacentral:rRNA from 1 species